UACGUAGGAGGCGAGCGUUAUCCGGAUUUACUGGGCGUAAAGCGCGUGCAGGCGGUCUGGUAAGUUGGAUGUGAAAGCUCCUGGCUCAACCGGGAGAGGUCGUUCAAUACUGCCAGACUCGAGGACGGUAGAGGAGAGUGGAAUUCCCGGUGUAGUGGUGAAAUGCGUAGAUAUCGGGAGGAACACCAGUGGCGAAAGCGGCUCUCUGGGCCGUUACUGACGCUCAGGCGCGACAGCGUGGGGAGCAAACAGG
rnacentral:rRNA from 1 species